CACAGUGAUGCCUCUACACUGAUUCUCAGAGAACCACCUCAGGAAACUUGUAGCUCAGCCCUAAGAAGAGGGUCAGAAGAUAUGUCAAGAGACGAGAAAGCAACUACUCAUCAUAGUCAAGCAAUCAGCAGGACAGAUGCCAUGGACAGUGGAAGAAAUUCUGACAUGAAAGGACACAAUUUUG